UACGAAGGGGGCUAGCGUUGUUCGGAAUCACUGGGCGUAAAGCGCACGUAGGCGGAUCUUUAAGUCAGGGGUGAAAUCCCGAGGCUCAACCUCGGAACUGCCUUUGAUACUGGGGAUCUCGAGUCCGGGAGAGGUGAGUGGAACUGCGAGUGUAGAGGUGAAAUUCGUAGAUAUUCGCAAGAACACCAGUGGCGAAGGCGGCUCACUGGCC
rnacentral:rRNA from 1 species